GCCUGUGGAACUAAAGUAACACGUGUUUUGGAAUCAUAAUAAAGAUGCAGAUUUGAACUUCAUGAGUUAUUUUACUUUGAGAGCGAUCAGGCAACGUUUCAGUAAACUGCAGUUCACAAUAAUGCCGUAUUAUGCUGUACGCGUUGGCCGAAAACCGGGAAUUUAUUUGACAUGGGAGGAAUGCAAGAAGCAGGUUGAUGGAGUUAGUGCAAAAUUCAAGAAAUUUCUUACUAUAGAUGAAGCCGAAGAAUUCAUGGCAAUAAAAGACCCAAGAGAUAACAAAAUAACACGCAAAUUUCAUGCCAAACCGAAAAAGGAGCGUAGCCAGAAACGAAAACACGAGGAGCCGGAGGAGGAAAAUUGGAGUUUUGAA